UCGUUUAAAGCCAUUACGUCAGCAUCCUUAGCAAAUUUCAGAACGCUCUAACCUGUGACGUCAAGUCCCACAAAGUGUCAAGAAUGUUGUCACAAGCGGGGUAACGUCCAGCGGAUAGCGACAAGCCAAAAGCAUUUGCUGCAAUCCUCGAUCCCGCGGGCUGCAUCCCCCAGGGUCAUAACACUCUCCCGAAGCAGAGCUACUUUCCCCCAAGUAUUUUACAACCCCC
rnacentral:rRNA from 1 species